rnacentral:lncRNA from 1 species
UUAGGUAUGGCCAUGUAGUGUUUACAAGGAACGGAAGAAAGAUCGGAAAAAGAGAAAAUUCAUUUGGAUUCAGAUUUCCUGCUAUUGGGAUGCACUCAGCGGGUGAACAAGUAAAAGUUAUACUGGACGCAAAGAUGCCAGAGUAAAAAGGCUACUAACAACAAAUGAACUACUGUACAAAAUAGUGCAAAUGAGAAAAAUAGCAAGAAAACAGUUUGAUUUACAUGAAUUUAUACUUGUUUCACGUAAUACUAAUUAGGUCAUAUGAAUGUAAAUUUGUCACUUUGAUAAUAACGAAAAAUGUGUUGACAUUCGCUAUAAAUUGAUUGAGGUUGAAAAAACUAAAAUGUACAAUGUCUUAUUCUAUUUGUCUGUGUUCUAUGUAUUUAGAACUCUUCUUUUGUUGUUCCACACUGUUUUCAAACAAAUACAAUAUAUUCUGUCUUUAAACACAAGUGUGGCCUUGACCCAUUAUUAUCUAAAUUUAUGAAAUGCACUCGCUGGAAGCACACAUUUGUUAUAAGUUAAUGGAUACUAUGUAACAGACCUGGAGAGGAGGAAUGGACGAAAAUCUAAGUGUAGUUUCUUUCUUUUGCCUCAUUUGUGAACACGAUCUAAGGUAUAAAUGUAUUAAAUGCAAUGAAAGAAAGCAUUCUAUUGCUACAGGCAAAUGUUUUGUUUUCGAAGAGGAAUGCAUAAUCUUAGAGGUAUAUAUAAAGUCGCAGUUCAAUGUUACAUUUUUAAGAUAGAUGUUCAUAAAGAUUAAGGAAUAUUUUCUAUAGUCAACACUUAAGUAUUCUAAUUCUAUGCAUGCUAAUAUUAAAGCUUUCUUCUAAAUA